rnacentral:lncRNA from 1 species
UUUGAUGCACGCCUCUCGUGCGCGAUAUAUCCAAAUGGUACUACGAUCGAAAGCCACAUCCGGUGUGCGCGUAAACGUCAAUGGGAUAAGAGGCUUAUCCGCGUGAAUGCGACCAGCUUCUCGAUCGGAUGCGAUGCCAUCUUCUUCUUCUCCGCCACGCAAAGAGCGUGCUGGCAGACAUGCCGUGCGCUUUAUCCCGCGGCUUUCUUUGUCGCAGUUGUACUACUACUCCUAUCAUGGGCGGCCGGCGGCCUCGCGACGCGCUUUAUCGGCGAUCGGCGUCGACCUGAUGUCAACCCACCGAUGCGACCGGCGAUGAUCGCCUGUGUGGCAUGGCACAGGACUCGGCUGAGUGGGCAUCGUGUGGCUCGCAGUCGCAGCGUGCGUGCUCGUUUCCUUCGAUACCGGUGGAAAAGUUUGGUUUUGUCGUCCCUCUUUCCCUUUACAUUAUCAUCAGUAUUGCUUCAGACUGUAUUUUUUUGGACAGUACUUCAGAUUCAGAAAACAGUCUUCUGUUUUGAUAACGGCUCAAUAUAU